AACGAACGCUGGCGGCAGGCUUAACACAUGCAAGUCGAACGGGUGCAGCAAUGCAUCAGUGGCAGACGGGUGAGUAACACGUGGGUGAUCUGCCCUGCACUUCGGGAUAAGCCUGGGAAACUGGGUCUAAUACCGGAUAGGACCCUGGGAUGCAUGUCCUGGGGUGGAAAGCUUUUGCGGUGUGGGAUGGGCCCGCGGCCUAUCAGCUUGUUGGUGGGGUGAUGGCCUACCAAGGCGACGACGGGUAGCCGGCCUGAGAGGGUGACCGGCCACACUGGGACUGAGAUACGGCCCAGACUCCUACGGGAGGCAGCAGUGGGGAAUAUUGCACAAUGGGCGCAAGCCUGAUGCAGCGACGCCGCGUGAGGGAUGACGGCCUUCGGGUUGUAAACCUCUUUCAGCACCGACGAAGCGCAAGUGACGGUAGGUGCAGAAGAAGGACCGGCCAACUACGUGCCAGCAGCCGCCGUAA
rnacentral:rRNA from 1 species